AAGGACAGGUAUAUCACAAGCAGCAACAGCGCAAGCUUUCCCCACACCACCCUGUCCAUGUGCUUCAAUGUUUAUCUGGAGGGAUCACCUCUAGA
ensembl:misc_RNA